AUGGCCUCUACUGCUACCUUGAGCACACUCAACCCCCACACUCAUGAUGUCAGCUCUUGGAACUGGAACCCCAAUGGCGUAUAUUCGGCGGGCUCGGCCUACCAGGCGCAAUUCCUUGGCUCUUACGAAAGGUUCUCGAGUAACAAAAUCUGGAAGGCGCAUGCCGAGCCAAAAUGCAAGCCUUUCUCCUGGCUAGUCCUACACAACAGAAUCCUCACAGCUGACAGGCUGGCCACACGCGGAUGGCCACAUGAACUUGUCUGCCAGCUUUGCCUCUGCGCCCUGGAGACCGCUGAGCACCUACACAAGACCGGUCUGUUCACAUCUGCUGUUCGCAGCCUUGUUCUCACUUGGGUGGGUGAGCCGUUGCCAUUCGCCACAAAUGCCGCUCCCCCGUCGAUUGACGCCUGGUGGAUGAUAGCCUCAGAAAUAGCCCCCUUUGGCCCCCAUGAAGCUCCGCCACUGUUGGAGCUAGUAAUGGACAAGGAAAUUAACCAUGUGUCUACCUUGUGCACUUCGUUAUAA
rnacentral:rRNA from 1 species